rnacentral:rRNA from 1 species
AGUGAACGCUGGCGGUAGGCCUAACACAUGCAAGUCGAACGGCAGCACAGUAAGAGCUUGCUCUUACGGGUGGCGAGUGGCGGACGGGUGAGGAAUACAUCGGAAUCUACUUUUUCGUGGGGGACAACGUAGGGAAACUUACGCUAAUACCGCAUACGACCUACGGGUGAAAGCAGGGGAUCUUCGGACCUUGCGCGAUUGAAUGAGCCGAUGUCGGAUUAGCUAGUUGGCGGGGUAAAGGCCCACCAAGGCGACGAUCCGUAGCUGGUCUGAGAGGAUGAUCAGCCACACUGGAACUGAGACACGGUCCAGACUCCUACGGGAGGCAGCAGUGGGGAAUAUUGGACAAUGGGCGCAAGCCUGGUCCAGCCAUACCGCGUGGGUGAAGAAGGCCUUCGGGUUGUAAAGCCCUUUUGUUGGGAAAGAAAAGCAGCAGGUUAAUACCCCGCUGUUCUGACGGUACCCAAAGAAUAAGCACCGGCUAACUUCGUG